rnacentral:lncRNA from 1 species
AUGGCAUCAACUACUGCCUUUAAAAGAUGUACCUCUUGCAGAGGUAAAUUACCAGACACUGAUGGGCACACAAUGUGCCUUUUAUGCCUAGGAGAAGGGCACAUAGUGCAAUCCUGUGCCAUCUGUCAGGGAUUCACCCCCCAGGCAAGAAGAAAUAGAGAAUCGCGUUUAAAAGCGAUGCUCUAUGAACAAGCAUUGCUGCCUUCCUCAAUUUUGGAAAGUCAAAAUACCUUAUCAGAAGUUUGCCAAAAUCCUGCAGUUCCUGAGAGAAAAAAAUCCAAGAAAUUCAAAAAUUCAACGACUAUAACGGCCCCCCAAAAUGGCGGCGGACGCCAGGAUGGCUCAACUUUACCUCAGAUAAAUAAAGAUAAGAAUCGGCAAUCCUCAGCACCAUUGCUAGUCGUGGCUGCUAAUGAGGAUCAACAAAUUAAGCCCUCUCCGACGCUCCCGGAAGAGGUGCUUGCACCCCAGCCUCAGACUAUUGAAAACCAGGAGGAAAAAGAGGCUUCCCCGGGGGCAAAAGCCGAAUCCCAGGAGCAAGUACAGGCUUCGGGCUCGACGCCCGCAAUGCCAAUCCUGGAAGGGCCUGAAGGCCAAGUAUCAAAAUGGAAUGGAGCAAUGCAGGCUCCCUCCUUACCUAUUGGGCUCCAUAGCCCAGGAAUGGAAGUUUCUCGCCUCCACAAAAGGCAUCGGAGCCGAAGCCCAUCCCGAGGCUCCAAACGCCUGCGCAGAGGCCAUAGCCACUCCCGACGCAAGCAUAGGAGUCGUAGCCACUCCCACCGCUCCCAUCAGCAUCGACGUAGAAGGCCUAGCCCCUCCUCCUCCAGCAGCCACUCCUCGGAUUCGAGCACUGGAGGCUUGUCAUCGAGCUCAAGCAGCUCAGGAAGGGCUCGAAACCGAGGCAGGAAGAAUUCAAGAAUGGAAAGGGAGGAGCGUCCCCUUUCAAAUCAAUGGAGAGGAGUUCAAUAUGAAUACCAGGGUCAACAGGCAAAUCUGUGGCAUAUCUCCCCAGAUGGACAAUACUAUUAUUUUGGACCACCUGGCUCAAAUGUGCCUCUUCCCCAAGGAUUAGCCAAUUGUAAUCCUAUACAAAUGUAUGAGGUUAACCCCUUAAUUGACUCAGUCCCAAAAGAGGGCUCUCUAGAGCAUUCCUUAGCAACAAGAGAACUGCAGAAUGCUGGGGUCUCAAAGGAAAACACCAAUAAAACUAUAACUCAUCAAAAAUUACUUGCUCCCUCCUCUAAUAUUGAGAAUAAUGCAGCUACAAUAUCUAACCAAAAUUUAAAUAUAGCUACAUCAGUAGCAAUGUCUGGAUUAGGACUUCCACAGCCACCAAUACAAGCUAUACCCAAGAUAUCAAGACUAUCUCACUCACAACAAACAUAG